rnacentral:rRNA from 1 species
GAUGAACGCUGACAGAAUGCUUAACACAUGCAAGUCUUUGGCGAAGCUGUGCUUGCACAGCCUAGCCAAGGCGGACGGGUGAGUAACGCGUAAGGAACUUGCCCUGCAGUCAGGGAUAACAGACGGAAACGACUGAUAAGACCUGGUAAAGUCAGGCGGACUCAUGUCCAGCCUGAUGAAAAGAGAUGCUGCAGGAGAGCCUUGCGUCCUAUUAGCUUGUUGGUGGGGUAACGGCCCACCAAGGCGAUGAUAGGUAGCCGGCCGGAGAGGGUGGACGGCCACAAGGGGACUGAGAUACGGCCCUUACUCCUACGGGAGGCAGCAGUGGGGAAUAUUGGACAAUGGGGGCAACCCUGAUCCAGCAAUUCUGUGUGCACGAUGAAGGUUUUCGGAUUGUAAAGUGCUUUCAGCAGGGAAGAAAAAAAUGACGGUACCUGCAGAAGAAGCGACGGCUAAAUACGUG